UUUUAGUGUCUUUGAAAAAGUCCGUUAGCAUCUCAACCGUUUUCAGAGGCGGUUGGCUAACUAACUCUAUAUUUUGAGCUCUUGUUUAAUGAAAGUUUGGCUUUUAAUCGCAUCUUUAUGUGUAGAUGAGAUGUUAUAAUAGUUUUGUAAAGGUUUUGCUGGCAAAUUGUUAAUGGAUGAUAGUAAACUAAUUUAUUUAACCUAAAAGUUGCUGUACCGUUAAUCGGUGACGUCACUUGCAUGAGCGCGAAAAUGAACUGAAACUAUUUCAAACAUCUUUUGAUCUCUAAUGGUAAACAGAUAUGGAUAAAUCAUGUCCUGCAGUUUCAGGGUCGACAGAAAAACCCCUCUACAACAAAUGGGAAGCUGACAGAGGAGGAGGAAACACAGAUCCUUCCAUGCUGAUGGCCUCCUGCACCCCAGCAGAGCUGAGCGACCUCCUGUCAAAGGUCCAUGAACCAGAUGACUAUUAUGUUUGCCAGUGAACAGACACCAUACUGUUCCACUAAAAGAUGAGAUGUAAUCUCUAGCGUUUGGUGCUGAGAUUCUUCAGGACAACGCCUUGAUGCCAUUCACACUCAGUACAUGAAGAAGAUUCACCAAACAUCUGGCUGAUUACUGGCAAUUUGCAGUAAUGACAAUGGACAAGUGAAGAGAGUGGAGGGGAGGGCAUCAGAAAGGACCUUGAGCUGCUGCGACUGUCUUGGAUAACCCAAAGCACAACUACACUAUGUGUCCAAGAUCCUGGCCUGUGUCCAUUCUCAAACUGUUCCACGAACCUCCACUGCACAAAAGGCAGUUCCAGGACAGAAAUAUCGGUACCCUCACUCUUCACCAGUCAUCACAUUCACAACCACCACAGUCAACGAAGUCAAGGUCCCUGGUCCACAGCAUCAACCAUCUUUGUAGGAAGAUGAUUACUGCAUUUCUUGAUGUAUCUUUAAAAUUGACAGAUUUCUUAUGGAGUGCAAUCCCUCUCUAGAUGAACUGAGGCCUAACGGUCUUACAAAAUACUGUC